CACCAGGUUGAUUCUGCCUGACGUAGACGCUAUUCUCUAAGAUUAACCCAUGCAUGUUUUUGACAUUUGAAAAAUGGACUGCUCAGUAAUACUCACUUUAUUUUAUGUAAAUUUUUGAUUAAUUAACUACGUUAAAGUGUAGAUAAGAUGUUUACAGUAAGAGUGAGACCUAUCAGCUAGUUGUUAAGGUAAUGGCUUAACAAGGCUGUGACGGGUAACGGUAUUACUUUGUAAUAUUCCGGAGAAGGAGCCUGAGAGACGGCUACUAAGUCUAAGGAUUGCAGCAGGGGCGAAACUUGACCUAUGGAUUUUAUCUGAGGCAGUUAUGGGAAGUAAUAUUAUAUUGUUUCAUAUUUUAAAAGUAUAUGAGGUGAUUAAUUGGAGGGCAAAUCAAGUGCCAGCAGCCGCGGUAAUACUUGUUCCAAGAGUGUGUAUGAUGAUUGAUGCAGUUAAAAAGUCCGUAGUUUAUUUUUUAAGAAGCAAUAUGAGGUGUACUGUAUAGUUGGGAGAAAGAUGAAAUGUGACGACCCUGACUGGACGAACAGAAGCGAAAGCU
rnacentral:rRNA from 1 species